GAAGCCACCAAUGGAGUCCCGGAAUCUCUAUUACGUAACAGUCUCGGCAGUGCGGGAGAUUGUUAGCCCCUAGAGUAGGUAGUCUUUUCUCUGGAGUUUAAGCUCCGUGAGAGUAGGAAGUACUUCUAAAUUUGUAUUCUCAGCACUCUGCGCCAUGCUUGAGAAACAUUCGGGGAGGGGGGCAAUAACAAACUCUUUGUUUUAAUCAGCCAAUAAACAGUUAUUAAGGCCUUACUAUUUGCCUGCCACUAGGCUAAGCGCUGGUUGGUUAACAAAGGCGGGGCACGGUUCCAGCUUUCCCGAAGCUCGCAGCCUAAUUCAGUAAUCCCUUUAUUACAUUAGUGUCACGUCCCAAUAACACUUCCACUCCACAAAGAAAGGCAAAAGACAGUCAUUCCUCUCGAGGAACUCCAUAUACUAUCCUAGGAGAUGGGUUGGUUCGUUGCUGUGCUUGAUAUUGGAAGAGGACCAAACGGAUACCGCUAUUUCGGGAUCAAUGUACGCUGCCUCGGGCUUGGGCUGAUCUGACCCACCGGAGCUCCGAAGCUCCCAAAGAGUCCAUAAGAACAUCUGAGGGAGCGAUGACUCCAAUUUUGCGCUUCUCGACCUCUUCGGAGAUAGGCAAAGCAGGCAAUUCUGCUUUGCUCAUAAAGCGAGCACACAUCGCCCGCCCGCCAGGCAGGACGGUCCUGGGAGAGGGUCUUCAGCGGGAUCCAAGUUCUUGCAGAGAGACUGGAGCUUCCCGGUAUACUUCUGACCCCCUGUGAGCACUUGCUUUGGAUUGUGAAGACAGGAUCACCUCUCCUUUGUCUGCCUUUGAAAUUGAAUCAACAAAAGAUUGAACACCUUACUUGGUGCUAUGUGAGAAGCCAGCAAGAUACUUGGAAAGCUCCACCAUUUUUUAAACUCAGAAACUUGUGAAUUCUUUUAAGAGUUCACACCCUCAGAAACUGUUAAAUCAGGAAAUGUGAACCUUUUUGAAGAGAAAUUGACCUUCAGAAGGUGAGAAGUUGAUCCCACUGAUACAGUGCUAGACAAUUUGGAAACUGUGAUUGGCCCCUGUAAAGAGGGGAGGAGACAAGAAGUCACCAUAAAAGCAAGCCCGAAUUCCUUCAGAGCAGAUGGUUUUUAAGAAUAGUCUGAAGAGAUUGUCUUCUGGAGAUAGUCUUCUGACUGGGGAAGUCUUUGAGGAAGCUUUGCUGGAGACUGUGGCUUGGAUUGUGGGUUUAGAACUUGGCUUCCACUUGGACUCUGACUCCUGGACUACCUUGGAAUAGAGGCUCCUGGAGCAGCUAUGUAAAAUCAGUGGAUGGAAUCAGGAGGACCUGGGUUCAGAGAUGGUCCCAGAUACUACUUAGCAGCGUGACCUCGGGCAAGUAAGUUUACCUCUAUUGCCUAGUUCUAAUGCUCUUCUGCCUUAGAGCACCUUCUGAGACAGAAGGUAAGGGUUAAAAAAUUUCUACAUAAUCUCUAUAAAUAUUUGACUCCCACUCCUCCACCUUACCCCAGACAGGGGAGGGAGGAAGCACUCUCAUUGGGCUGCUGGGCAGAGGGGAAGGUCAUGUGAGAAAUGUCCUCAGGCCCAUGGAGAGGGGAGCAGCCCCCUCUAGCACAUGUGCCAUAGUUUGCCAACAUGGACAUCCAGUAUUAGAUAAAUGCUGUACAUCUAUACCUCUGUCUCUCCACGUCCAAAUUCUCUCUUGAACUGGAGUUGUUGUUGACUGUAUUGACUGAUG